AACAAUGCACUUGAGGGGAUGCUUCCUCGUUGUUUUAGUAACUUGACAUCUCUUCGUGUGUUAGAUGUUUCAAGAAACCAUUUUCAAAUUCCGCUGUCAUUUGCACCAUUUGCAAACCUUUCAAACCUCAAAGUCCUUUCGAUUAAUGAAAACAAGAUGGUAAUGGAAUCUUCCUUUUAUACCUCAAUCCCAAAGUUCCAAUUGGAAGUCAUCAGUCUGCCAAAGUGCAUAGCAUCUCAACAACUCAGUCGUAAAUUUCCUACCUUCCUUUACUACCAAUAUGACUUGAGAUAUGUGGAUCUUUCUCAUAACAAUCUCAGUGGAACUGUACCAACUUGGUUGCUAGAAAACAACACAAAGUUAGAAGAUCUCAUCUUGAAGGGUAAUUCAUUUACAGGUCCUCUCUCACUUUCGUCGGCUCUUAUUUCUGAUGUAUCUUCAAUUGACAUAUCUGAAAACAAAUUACAAGGUCAAAUUCCAACUGGUAUAUGUUCAACUUUUCCACAUUUGAGUCGGUUAUUCUUAUCCAAGAAUGCUUUUGAAGGUAAUAUCCCACUUUGUUUAAGUGGCAUGAAGGACUUAUCAUUUUUAGAUCUAUCAGACAAUCAUUUGUAUGGAAAAGUACCAGAAGAGUUGAUCACGAAAGGCUCACUGACCAUUUUGAGACUAUCAAAUAACAACCUCAGUGGAAAUGUAGUUCCUGUGAUUCUCAGCGCAAAUAGGGUGCAGCAUUUAUAUUUGGAUGGAAAUAAUUUUUCAGGAGAGAUGACAAAUGUUGAUGUGUCUACUUUUGAGUUUCCAAAUUCACUAAGCGAAAUUGAUCUCAGUAACAACAAGUUGCAUGGAAAGCUCCCAAGAUGGAUAGGGAAUGCAUCGUUUUUGCAGAGAUUAGCUAUGUCCAACAAUGGUUUUGAAGGUUCCAUUCCAAUGGAAUUUUGCAAGUUGAAUAGGUUGGAAUUUUUGGAUCUUUCUCAAAAUAAUUUAUCUGGCUCUAUACCGUCAUGUUUUAAUCCACCAUACAUAGAGCAUGUCCACCUCCACGGGAAUAGACUGAGAGGCCCACUAUCACUUGCUUUUUAUAAUAGCUCUUCAAUAGUGACUUUAGAUCUUAGAGGAAACAAUUUGACAGGUAGUAUUCCAAAAUGGAUUUACACGCUUUCUUCUUUGAGUGUUCUUCUCUUGAAAGAUAAUCAUUUUCAUGGUAAAGUUCCUGUUGAGUUAUGCAAGUUGCAUUCUUUAAGCAUCAUAGAUCUUUCUCAAAAUAUGUUUUCUGGUCCUAUACCUUCUUGUUUGGGAAAUUUAUCUCUUCCAAUGCAAAGGAAGAAGAUUCUAGAAAUUGGGUUCUAUAGGCCAUCUAUAGAAGAGCAUGAAACAACACUAAAUUUUGGAAUGGAUCUUUACUAUCCUGAUAGCUACUUAGAAGAAGUAAUAGAGUUCACAACAAAGAGUGGGCUCUUUUUGUACGAGGGCAACAUCCUUUCAUAUAUGACCGGGAUUGAUUUAUCUUGCAACAACUUAACUGGUCAUAUCCCAUCAGAAUUAGGGAACUUGAGUGAAAUCUAUUCUUUAAACCUUUCACAUAAUAAGUUGACCGGAGUUAUACCCUCGUCAUUUGCAAAACUUCAUCAAAUUGAGAGUUUGGACCUUUCUUACAACAACUUGAGUGGUGAAAUCCCCAAUCAGUUGGUAGAGUUGAACUCUUUGGAGAUUUUCAGUGUGGCAUACAACAACUUGUCAGGUAGUAUUCCCGAACCAAAAGCUCAAUUUGGGACCUUUAUUGAAAACAGUUAUGAAGGAAACCCUUUUCUUUGUGGACCUAUACUGCAUAAAAGUUGUUCCAAAACCGAUUCACCAUCAACAAUAUCAACUGUAUCAGAAGAUAAAGGAGAAGAUGGUUUGAUAGAUACUUAUGAUUUUUGUGUGAGCUUUUUGGUUUCUUAUGUAGUUGUGUUGUUGACAAUUUUUGUUGUCCUCUACAUAAAUCCAUACUGGCGAAGAGCUUGGUUUUCUCUUGUUGGGAAAUGCAUUACCACCUGUCGCUACUCAAAUGUGGGCAAUUUUCUUACUUAUCACAUUUUCAAGCGAUGUGUUUAGCUACUCAAAUUGUGAUUUGAUUUCCACACCUAAAUGUUUAAUUAUGCUAAGUUGAGCGAUAAUGAAUAUUUUGUUGAUUUUUGCAUUUUGAAUAAAAGCUCUUUUAUCUUGUGGUUUUAUCAUUUUCAACCAUCUAUUUCUUUUUUCUUCUAUGAAAUUUAAUAUAAAAUCAUAAUCCAUUAUUAUGUAUAUGCAAUAUCUCUUUAAAUUAAAUUAAAUUAACUGCCUAGCGUUCACUAGUGCAUAGUAAAAAGGAAAUCUAAUGUAAAAUUAAAUCAAACAUACUACAGAAUUGAAUCUAAAACUGGAAUAUUUUAAAACCUCACAAACAAUGCAAUUCUUUAUUCCUCUUUUCCUCUCAAGUUAUUUUGUAUCAUGUUAUAUUUUACAUAAUUAUUCGUAUCAUCAAAUUUUAAAAAAAAUUUAAUAUUUUGAUAUCAUGUUCAUAUUAUGCUUUAAUUCACAAUGUAUUUUGUAUAAUAUGUUAUAACAAUUCAAUUUAAAAAACAAGCAAUUAUCUUAUUUUUGCAUACCGUAAUAUACAUUUACAUGUUAAUAAUUCUUUGUACAUAAAUUUUGACAUGUUCGUAUAUUCGAGUCAUUAUAAUUUUAUUAUUUGUAAUAUGACAUGUUUUACUUACCCUUAAUAUUGUGUCAUGAUAAUUAUAACUCGAUUGGCAGUGUACCAAAUAUUUUUCUAAUAAAAAAUAGUAUUUUAUUCUAUUUACCAAAUCCUUAUCAACUUUAUUUUCUCACCAACAAAACAUACAUUCAAAGUUCAAAUAAGUUCCACACCCAUUUUUUUACUGCAAUACUCAAGAAUAUGCUCAUCAUCAGAAAUCUGAAAUAUUCCACUCUAAUUAACAUUAUGAUUCUGUAAACAACAAAAAAGUGUGAUACUUUUUUAAAGCUCUUUUUUUUUCUUUAAUGAAAUGGGAUUGGUAAAAAAUCCGCACAUGUGUCGUGUGUGAAGGUGGUCAGGUUGUCUAUUCAUACUGUAAUAAGUAGCUAAUUAUAGUUGAUCCUACAAAAUCAAAUUUAAUUCAGGUAUCUAUAUAUUCUGAAGACUGGACAGACCUUAGAAGCUCCUUCAAAUUUGCUAGAACAUGCCGUGGUCCUAAACUCUUUACACCGAUGAAAUUCAAAAGUUGCUCUAUAUCCUGCAAUCACAGUAAAGAUUAUGCAAGCUUUUCAGAACGAAUAACAUAACAAGCAAAAGGCAAUCAAAAUACUGUGAUCUCGAUAAUGUUCUUUGCCGAAAAGGAACAUAAACAUAACCUGAAAACAUCAGUGAAGGCUCAUCAGAUUUGCUUAGCAACCUUACAUACACAUGUAAAAAGCUUUGCUUUUGGAUGUAAGGUGUGACUAUCAUCACAGUCUUUCCUAAUUAGCUGAUAACCCUAUAUCUAACAUUUAUCAGGGCUAAGCAAAUUAACAUACAUAAUGUAAAGGAAUUUGACCAUAAGAUCCAACAGAAAACUUAAUAAAAGAUAAUCAACAUAGAAAGUUAAAAGGCAAUGCAAACUUAUUACAAUGAUGCAAGUGGAUCAAAAGAAAGCACUCUAUAAGGAAUUUGCAUUUAAGGCAUUGUAAACAGAAAAAAAAAUAAUAAAACUUUUUGGAAAGUAUUUUCAAAGAGGAGACAAAAACAGGGUAGAAAAAAUGUUUGGUCCUUCCUUUUUCUAUUUCUACUGUGGUGAAAAAGCCUUUUUGGGUUAAAAGUGUUUUUACACUGCAGAAGUGUUUUUCCACUGCAGAAGUGAUGAAGAACACAUAGCUUUGUAGUCAAAAACCUACUGCUUUUGGCUUUUGCAUUUCGAAGUGAAAAUUAUAAAAAUACUCUUAGAUUAAUUUAUAUUUUAUAUAUUAUUAUAUUAAAUUGUUAAAUCUUAUUUAUUAUUAUAUUUAAUUUUUUUCAAAAUAUUUUAUACAUCAUCAAUUUUACAAAUAAUUUAUAUUAAUUACUUUUAAAAGUUAUAUUUCAUGUAUCAUUAUAUUAAAUUAUUUAAAUAUCAUAUAACAUCACUAAUUUUCUACUUUCUACCAUCAUGUCUAAAAUAGACAUUUUAACUUUCAACCGCAAUUUUUGGCAGCAAUGAACAACACUAAAAACUAACAAACACACUUUUCCGCACCACAUUUCAAAAACACUUUUUUCUAAACGCACUUUUGAACUAGUCCUUAGUCUAUCAUGCAUCAACUCUUCAUUUUUCUUUAACUACCCAUGUCCGACUUCGAACAUGGAUAUGGAGAUAUGACCAAGUCACAGUGACAUAGUUUUUAGUUAUGGGGAAUGGGAUUCGAGUGCUGGACCUCCUUCUAGAUGCAUGGUGGGACUUCAUCACAUUUUUCAAAUUUGUUGAUAAUCCUUCACCUAAUCUGCCGGUGAAGUUUAUAGAUAGUCUUAAGUGUCUAUCACAAGAACCUAGAUAUUGUAAAUCAAAUAUCUUCCAAACAAUUCAACCAUGAUAUUAAUGAUGAUGGAAGCAAGAUUAUCCACUAUCAAUGACAUAAAAUGAGCUGUAAAUGCUGACGAACAAACAUGCACUGUUUUUCCAACCUGUGGAUUGAAGAGCAUUGACAAGCUAACUUUGCAGACCAUUUGAAUCCAAUACUAUACAUAAAAAUGCCAAAGGAGAAUAAUUCAUCUUGGAAAAAGAAUUACUAAUAUGCAAAAGCUUACCUUGUUUAACAAGAACACAGCAUAUGCUGCUCUUGUCGUGUCUUGACCUUCUAAAAACAGCGGAAAUUCUGCCAGCUUUACAUUUGCUGAAAGUGUUGUAUCCAAUGACAAAUCAGAAGAUGCAGGGUCUAUUGAAGACGCAUGGUCAUUAAUAUAUGAGCGAGAACCACCCAAGCGCAGAGGAUAACGCAAGGGAACUUGUAAAUAGGAUGCAAUUAGUGAAACAGCCUGCAAAUGAUGAAAUAACAGGAAACAAGAAACAAUAAUAGGUAUGAUUAAAAUUAUAGCCUCAGCAUGAGAAACAAGCAAUCAAGAUGCAGCCCACUAUACCAUAUUACCAUCCUAGCAAUUAAAAAUUACUACAGCAUCUUCAAGCAACAAGGGAUUGUAGGUGGUAGGUCAAAAAACUUGAUAUCCACAGCUUGAUAUUAUCAGAAAAAACAAAUUCAGUAAUAAAUGAUAACUUCACAGAAGAAAUAGAACGCACAUGUGCAACAUAUCCCAAGGCAGUUGCAGAUCUCUGAACCUCCUUUUUGUCAGUGAAAAAACUCAUCUUUGUAAAAGGAAGCAAGGUGAGAUUCAGACCUAAAAUUGUCAACGAUCCUUGAUUGACGGGCUUUGAUGCAGAAGGAUUCCCUAGUGAAGAUAGGAACAAAGGAACUUCAUAUCAAUACAUCACCAGACACCACCUCUUUGUGAAAGUCAAAACAAAAUUCAAAAAAAUAUAAUCAUGAAAGUAAGAGAUAUGUAAAAAGUUCAUAAUAUUCAAGAGCAAAAAAAAAUUGUUUUGAUAUGAGGAGAAUUGAAUAGUAGAUUGCUAAAAGAGGAAUAACUGAAUACAACCAUCAUAACCAAAAGAAGAGUCAAGUGAUAGGUAAUGGUACUCCCUAAGCUGUUUAGGAAUCAUAAAAGACUUGUCCAGUUGACAAAAAUAACUCAUUUUAUUCAUAUUGGACCAACCAUAUUUGAUAUCAAAGGAUAUGGAUAUCCAGGCAUGCCAUUUAUAGAUAUUCCCAGUGUUGCAAGAAGGAAUUGUUCAAGAGAAAGAAGCUGCUAUUGUUGGUAAAGUUUUCCUCAAACCAUUUUGAACAUCCAAAAUCUCAAGAACAAAAAAGAAAACGUAGGAGGAAAUAUAACAAGCAUCACAACGGGUUCUCGAUGAUAUAAGUGAGAGGAUAAAUGUUAAUUAAGAUUAUAAAAAUAAACCACAAACUAAACAGGAAAGACAUGGAUUUCAAAACGAGGAGACUGGCUGCUAAUUAAAACCAUAUGCGGUGUUGUCUAGGGAGCAAGGCGCAUUCUAGGUGCUAACCUUUAUAUUGCCUCAAGCACAAGGCACAAAAGGAAGCGCUAGCCUGAGUGCAGUAAAGCGCAAUACGUAUAUGUGAGAGUUUUUGCAAGUCUGUGUGUCUACAACAUAAAAGUUUUAAGAUAUAUAGUAAACUCUAAAGUGUGGUCUGGUUUAUCCACAAAACUUGCAAAAUUUUUAUAGGUGAAUGCUCAAAUAUUGAGAAUUAUAGAGUUUGAUAUUAUCCCUUUCUUAUUAGUAAAGGUGUAUCAAAUGAAAACAGUAAAAAAUAAAAUAAAAUAUUGAGAAAUUCAACAAGGCAGGCUUUUUCUAAUGCCCAUUGCCUUACAAAAAAAGUGUGCCUAGGUGCACCAGGCAUACGCUUGAUCAAAUGGACCUCACCUGGAAGGGUCCAAGGCGUUUGGUUGUAUAAAACUAAGGCGUAGGCAUGCCUAGGCGCAUGCCUUGACGACACUGACCAUAUGUUGGCUUUAUUGCAAAGCAUUAGCAAUCCAAAACUACUAGCACAUUACCUAAUCUACUACUGCUAGAAUAGGACUCAAGUUCUUGCUCCUGUGCAGGUCCAACCAAGAUCUUUACAGGAUACAAUAAUGAAACUUGUGAUAUCAUAUAUUGUUGCCUUGCUCGAAGCUUCCUUUGCACAUUUUUAAGUUUAACACAACCCCUUUCUUCAGUGAGUAAUCUAUUUGCUUCCUGUGAUAAAAACAACAUAUAAUCAAUCAUGCCACGCAUGCAAGACUACCAACCAACUAUCUAACAAAAGAUACAAAGAAGUAGGAGAGCAAGAAGGGGAUAACCCUUGACUAUGCAAAGGAAUUCAUAGAAUGAGAAUCAUCUCAUCUAAGCCCCUCAACCACCUUCACAGGGGGUGGAGGUGCAAAGAGAGAGGUCUUAUUGAUCCGAGAGGAGAAUAUAUAACAUCUAAAGCUGAAUAAGAAGAAACCUUCAAAUAUAUCAUAAAUUCAGAAUUCAUGAUAAUAUAAAAAUGAAAUUCCAAAGCUAAUUUAAGCUAGAAUAAAAAUGCUUCACCUGUAAUCACUUCCUUGCUACAGAAAGAGAGGUACCAGCAACCAACAAUGAUCUUACUUCAGUACUAAGCAUUUCCUCCUGUUUUUUGGCAUCCUCUGUUGCAACUUUGCAAUGAGUUGACAUGUUUGCCAUAAAUACUUUCCUUGCCUCGAGUCUCUCACGCAUUUCCUCAAGCUCGUUCAGUUUAUUCAAAGACUCAUUUUUUACCAGCACAGCAUGUUCCCACCCAUUAAUCAGUGGGCCAAUUAAUUAGGUCACAGAAGACAAAACUAAAUUAUCACUCACCAGGUCCCCUUGAAGUGUCAUAUGGCUUUAACAAUUCAACGUGCAAUAUCUAGUAAAAGUAAAAUAAACAUAGAAGAAUGCAAAUGCAAUUCUUAAACGCCUUUAAAUGGACAACAUGAAACACUUUAAGAGCCCUAUAAAACAGAAAAGUGGAAAAAAAAUCUGAAAAGGAAAAAAAAAUGAAUUGAAACAAUAAAUCCAUCUGGUACAAACAGCAACAAAUCUCAAAAUAAGCUUUGGCUUUAGCCCAUUAAAGCCCGGGCAUCCGGCCAAAUAAACAGUGACUGCCAUGUCAACUUUUUGAGACGGUAGAAAAGAGCUCAAAAAUCUCAAUUUCCAAAAAUAAGGACAUAAGAAGGAAAACAAUUUACUUAUUCUUACAGUAGAAGAGCAAAAUGAAACUAAAUGAAGGAUAAGGGAACUGAUGCGAAUUGACAUUGUUAUUUUUGGGACUAAAAAGAAUACGCAGAUUGAAUAUUUAAGAUUUUGUAAGUGAAAAGUUCCAUUCACCGACACAAUUAUCAUCGCCCUUUAUCCCAGUAAAGCUUAAUUGACAAUUUUUCUGUCUCGUGUUCUUGCUAAAGCAUUUGAGCAACCCAACAGAAAUCAUUAUAUUUCAAACUGAAAUGAUUGGCUUUAACAAUUUCACAACCUAUACCGCCCAACCUAGUAAGUAAUUUAGGUGCAGACACCAGAAAUCUAUUUUCUUUGCACUCUACAACUAAAUAGCAUACCACUUAUCAAUCAAACACAGCUGAAAACUUCAGUGAGGGAACAUUAUGUAAAAUGAAAAAACUAUAACUUCAACUUGAUUCAUAGCUCGGCAAGUUCAGGGAAUUGGGACUUCUACCACGAUGAUCCAGUUCAAUGUGAAACAGUGAUCCAUAUAAUGCAUAUCGGUUCCCGGAACAAGAGGUAAAACCAGCAAAUUAGGUAAACAAUGAUCCUACUAUAUUUCAGAAUAGCAACAUUGAGCAUGAAAGCUAAAAUUAUAGCAUAUUAUGGGUCCUUGCUCUCUACAACUACAUAUAAAAUUACUAAACAAUAUUACUACAUUAAGGAUCCAGAAAAACUUUGUUUCAAUUGUUGAUCACUUGAUCCAACUAUUUUAGAAAGUUUAUUCUUCUUUUUCCUUUCCCUUAUUUUCUAAAUCAGGAAAAACAGUAGCAUAUAAAUUGGAUUACUACUCCAAGUUUCUGAAAUUUCAACAAUAUCCCUUUUACCUUUUCACUCAAGUCAUUACCCCCCAAUUAACAAAUAUAUUCCCAGUUUCCCUUUCCCUUCAAACACCCCUUUUUUUUUCCUCUACCCAAAUUCAGCUUAUGUUCAAAAACCCAAAAUUGGUUUGCUAAAAUAACAUAAUUUUCAAACACAAAGAUAACCUAAUUUUAAUCAGAAAAAAAAAGCAUUACCUGAAUUAGUGACUGGAGUUUCUCUUGAAGACUUUGUUUCUUCUCAUUAGCUUCCUUAAGGGCAGAAGUUAAACUCCACAAUCUAGCUAGCUCGUUGUCGAAAUCUUCCCAUUCAAUUAGUUGCACAUUUUCAUGUGCAGCAUUGAUUUUCUUCGGGUCGGUAAUUAGGGUUUUGUCUCGGGCUUGUUCUCGAUUUUCCAUGAAAUAAUUGAAGAGGAAAGCUUUCGAUUCUGUAAGUUUAAAAAGGGAUCAUAGAUCGACCUCAUGGUACUGGAUCUCGCCCGGUUAGAGUGUUCUUUUUCACGCCGAUCGAAUCAUUUUCUCGGGAAACUUUGCUAGCUAGGGGUAAUUUUCUCGGGAAAAUGGAGGGAAAAACAGUUUCGGGAGUUUUUAUUUGGGGGAGUCUAAGGUAUAACGGAGAAUGACAGGUGGCGGUUAACGGAGGAAUCUCACGAUUCAUGUCAUUUUCACUUUUCCGAUUUAGAAAUUGCUUAAAUACUUUUAAAAAUAGAUAAUAAGAUAAACUUUCUUUUUGAAUAAGAUAAACUUUCAUUGAAAAUAAAUAAAUAAAGCUAAUAGAAUUUUACACAUUUAUCUUGUGUUUUAAAUUUAAUAAAUUAAAAAAUAUUUGAUGAUUUUUAAGUUGGUAAUUUUUUUUUAUAAAAAUUUGGUAACUUCUUUGAAAGUUGAUAUAAAAUGUAUCACGACCCGACUUGAGAUUUAAUUUGUCCUCGUCAGAAGUCCGACCCAAACAAGGGAAUAUGACUUGCCACUCACCAAUUUUUUAACCUUCCAACUUGCCAGCUUUAUGGAGUAACUCGGCACCUUGCGACACUACCUCACAUACCGUGAGAUUUCAGUACAAAUAUCUCUAAGGGUAUGUAUCAAGCUUAAGAGAAAUAACAUAUUAUUAUACAUAUUAUUUAGUUACCCCUAACAUGUCACGUCAAAAAAUCAUACUAUAAAAAAUAGUCCUCACAAGAGAGGAUAGAAAAAAAAAAAGUCAUCAACAAAAGUAAUUAAGUAACCUUUUUAUAAAACAAAAAGAUUUAUUUUAUUUUGAAGUAAAUUAAUUCUCUAACUUAUAUAAGAAAUUAAGUAAAAUCUUUUUAAAUAAUAAGACAUAAUUUCUCGAAAAAAAAUAAUCAAAUGAGAGCUAAUCAAAAUAAUUUAUUUUUUUAGGCCAAACAAUUUUACUUCAACUAUUUAUAAACACUUUUUAAUCAAUUUUCUUUUAACUCCCAUUAUAAAUUUUAUAAAAAGGAUAAUAUAUUAAAAAUACCCUUAAAUUAUUAGAUUUUGUAUAAAUAAACUCUUAUUUUUUUUAGUUAAAUAAACUCCUAAAUUAUUAAUUUUAGUCAUGAAAAUGUUGAUAUAAAAGUAUGAGAAUAAUUUAUUAAAUAAAAAAUUAAUUAUUUAAAAAUAUUUAAAAUAUUUAUAUACAUAAUAAACUUAAUUAAAUUCUCUAGAAAAAAAAUUUAUAUUCUUUUAAAUUUUAUGUUGAUAUAUUAUUUCUAUUUGUCUAAUAAAGUGCAUAACGAGGCAAUAACUAUUUUUAUGUAUAAAUUAAACAAUACUACAACUUCCGAAGUUAAUAAGAUUAUAUCUAUACUCACCAUCACAAUUAGAGACAGGGGUGAGUAUUCGAUCGAAUUAAGUUAAAAAAUUUUGAAUUAGUCGAGUUAACAAAUCUUAUUUUAGCAAUCGAAAUCAAUUUAAUUUUUUUUAAAUCAAAUCGAAUCGAGUCAAAAAAUUUCAAGUCGAAUUAACGAAUCCUAUUAUUUAUACUCAAUAUUGCGUUUAUAUGGGCUGAUUAUUUAACUGGUAGACGAAGUACAAGAUUAUUUAACUAUAUAAACAAUAUAAUGGUUUUGCAUUGUAACUUAAUAGGUAAACAAUAUUUUUAUCAUAUAUUAGUCAAAGUUGAUUGCAUCAACAAUAAGUUAAGAUAAAAACCUCAAAUUUUUAAAUAUUUUUACCUCAAUAUAAAAUUUAAGAGCUUUCAUGUAUAAAAACUAAAGGUUAGAGCUUUCAUGUUUAAGGGCUUAUUUAUACUUCAUCUUUAUAAAAAAAACACUUAAAUAAAAGUUUAAAUUAUAUAGUUAAUCACUCAAUUUUAGUAAAUUUUCAUUUUAGUCACUCGUUGUUAAUUUGGCUAAUGUAAAUAUUACAUUACACUCAUUUUAGUCACCUAAUUUUUAUAAGAUAGAAUUAAUUUUAUUUUUCGGUAAAAAAAAAAAAAAAACUCAAAAUUUUACAAGCAAGUACCUAGGUUUUUAUAGAAAAAACUUGGAGUUUUAUAUGAAAAACCUACGUUUUUAUUGGAAUAGUCAUAUUAUCUUUUUUUAUUUCAUUUAUAAAAUUAAUUUUAGCUUUUUCAAUGAAAAGAAAACCUAAUUUUUUACAAGAAAAUCAUUUUAUCUUUUUAAUUUCUUUUACUUUCAUAUUUAGAAUUAAUUUUAAUUUUUUUUCCAAUAACAAUGAAAAAAAACUUGGAUUUUUACAAUGAGUUUGUUGGGUUUCCACGGAGAAUUGCUAGAGUUUUAUGAAUAACUCAAUUCCUUAAAAAAUUCUAAAAAAAUUAGAAAAAUAAGAUUAAUUAAAAAAAUGGAGCAAAAUGAAAAUUUACUAAAAGUAGAUGGCUAAAAUGAAUAUACAAUUGCAUUUUCGUUAGCCAAAUUAACAUGUGAUCAAAAUGAAAUAUUAUUAAAAUGAAAAAACUAUUUAAAGAAAGUGAUUUAUUUACACCCUGAUUUUAUGAGCAAAUUCCCCAGCACAAAGCCUAUUUUGACAAUAACAGUUCAAAUGAAAAGUCUUCGCUUACUCUUUGAACGAAACUCUUCUCCCGCUAAAACCACCUCUUCUUCCUCCAAAUUCAAACGCCCAAAGCUUUCUUCCAUCUCUAAUGGGUUUUAUGGACAAGCUAUCCGAUGCUUCAAAAAGAUGAUGUUUUCAGGUGUGGACUUAGUAGUUUUCAUUGAGCUCAACCCUUUAUUCUAAUCUUUCUGAAUAAACUCAAGUUUGUCGUAUUUGCAGGAAUAAAACCCGAUGCGGUGGUCUUUCUUGCCCUCCUGACUGCAUGCUCACAUUCUGGACAAGUAGAUCUUGGGCUUAACUUCUUUGACAGCAUGAGGUUUGAUUACUCCAUUGAGCCAACCAUGAAGCAUUAUACGUUGGUCGUUGAUUUGUUAGGCAGGGCAGGCCGACUGGAUGAAGCAAUGAAGUUCAUACAAAGGAUGCCUAUAAGUCCUGAUUUUGUGGCAUGGGGAGCACUUUUUUGUGCUUGCAGAGCUCACAAAAAUAUUAAAAUGGCAGAACUAGUGUCAGAAAAGCUCCUUCAGCUUGAACCUAAACAUCCUGGGAGCUAUGUUUUCUUGUCAAAUGUUUAUGCAGCAGUUGGUAGAUGGGAAGAUGUGGAGAGGGUAAGAAUGUUGAUGCAGAAUCAAGCUGUUGGCAAAGAUCCGGGGUGGAGUUAUAUUGAAGUCAAUGGACAAGUGCAUAGUUUUGUAGCUGGUGAUCAUGAUCAUAAGCGUGCAAGAGAAAUAUACUUGAAAUUAGAGGAAAUAGUGUCUGGUGCAAGAGAGCAAGGAUAUAUGCCUGAAACUGGGUGGGUUCUUCAUAAUAUUGAGGAAGAAGAGAAGGAAGAUGCAUUAGGAAGUCACAGUGAGAAAUUGGCGCUUGCCUUUGCCUUAAUGAACACUCCUCCGGGGACAACUAUCAGGAUAGUGAAGAACUUAAGAGUAUGUGGAGAUUGCCAUUCUUUGAUGAAAUGUGCUAGUAAGAUGAGCCAAAGAGAAAUCAUAUUGAGAGAUAUAAAGAGAUUCCACCAUUUCAAGUAUGGGGUCUGCUCAUGUGGAGAUUAUUGGUAAAAUGGUAAGUAACAGCAACAUUAAUUUGCUUUGCUGUUAAUAGCACAUGAUUAGUGCUUCUACUUGGUUUAUUUAGAAUAAUGCUUUUAGUUAAAACAUGGAUGUAGCUACAGCAACACAAGUUUUUUUGUUUGAUAAUUGGUAGCAAGUACAUUAAAUUUCUCCAAUGGACCUUUCUGCACAUAUAUAUUAAACUUGAAACUCAUUAGUUAAGUUUGUACUUUAUUUAGGUAUCUAAUUAACGUUGUUAGAUUUUUUCAAUUUCAACUUAUCAUCUUGUGCCACUUCUUUCUCUUCCCUUUAGUGAAAUUUAGCACUUUAAAAGAUGGGUUGCAUUUUGCUCCCUCUGUCAAAAAAAAUGGACAGAUUAAGCUAUACACGUUAGAUCAAAGAGCAAAUAGGUCUUUUUGUUUAAAAAUCCAUCAAUUUUUGUUGUUAAAAAUCAAUCCAUUUACAUCAACAUAAAAUAUAUAACUGUUUGGGUAUCUCAUCAUCCAUGUUAGUUUUUAGCAAUACAAAUGGAUAGAAUUUUUAACAAAAAAAACCAGUUUAUUGUUUGAUCUAACAUACAAUGACUAAUUUGUCAAUUUUUUAAGUAAAUAAAGCAUAAUGCUAAUUGACUCUUAGUAUAAUAUCUCUAUGGUACUUUUAUCAAUACUAUCUCUAUUUAUGAAAUUAAAAAUACUUAAAUAAUUAGAUUUAUUGUUAUGUGUAUGUAAUAGCUAUUUGAAUUAAAUUAAAUUGACAAAUCAACGUACACUAGUGCAUACUAAAAAAAAUGUAAUAUAAAAUUAAACCAAAAUUGAAUCUCCUCAAACAUAUGGCAACUCUUCACUCCUCUUUCCCUCUGAAGUUAUUUUAAUUUAAAAUAUAUUUUGUAUAAUGUGUUAUAACAAUUCAACUAAACAAAGUGAUUCUCUUUGCAUAACAUAUUAUAUGCUUAUAUAAACUUUUACAUAAUUUGUUAUAGAUACAUUUUUAAUAAUUGAAUGAUGACUCCAUUAAAAAUGCAAUAUCAUAAUAAUUCUACAUUUCUUGCAUUAAUAUAAAAUUUUCCUUUUUUUUUCCUCCAAGCCUUGUUUAUUAUCUUGCCAACUUUCAGGCUAGCUAUCGCCCGCCUUUUUUUCCCUCCCAUCAAUCCUUUUUUUCUUUUUUCUUCUCAUUCACUCCACAUGUCUUCUUUCUUUUCAGUUUGUAAAUCUAUUUUAUGAGUAUCUUUAUUUUCUUCACAAGUUGUGAUAGACAGAUGACGACGCCUAUGUUCGUUAAAACUUCAUCGGCCACCAAUAAUUUUUCAGAAUAAUAAAUAAUUUCAUGAGCCGAUUUGGACCCUUGUUAUCAUAAGUUUUAUAUAUUUUUUAGUUUGUUUUUUCAUUGUUUAAUAGGUUUUUAGUUUUAGAAGUUUUUGUCUACUCUUGUAACACGUUUUUUAGUCUUGCUUAUGCAUGUAACCUUAGUUUUACAAGUGAUUUUAGAGAUGGUUUUGUUACCGUCUUCUCUAGUUUGGUGAAUGCUCAAUUCUUUUGUCCAUUUUUGCUCGUCACUUCCAUUCGGGGCUGAUUUUCCUUAUCGCAUUAAGUGCUUGCGAUCACUCCAAAUAUAUCGUGCUUAAGUUGUGAUAAAGCUUGUACAAGCCCAAUUUUUAUGCCCGGGCCCAAUUGACCCAACAAAACCGAACGGCCCAACAGACUAAGGCCCAAACCCAACAAAGACUAGGGUUUCAGAACCCUAGCCCCUCCAUCAGCGCCGCAUGCUAGGGUCUCUGACUUCUGCCCCGUCGGCGCAAACGGCGCACCUACCCCGUCCGUGUCACGUCUCCUCCAUCGCCCUACACCUGCAAACAAUAAAGAGAAGCAGACAACACAAAACAGGGGAAAGAUUGAAUCUUUUUUUUUUGUUCUUUCGGCUAUAAAGCCGAACGUAUCAAAUAAGAAAAAGGGGGGAUUUUUUGUAAAAAAAGAAAACCACAUCAGAAAUAAGAAAAGGAACAAAGGUUGCUGUGUUCUUCAUUUUAUUCUUUUUUGAUUCGUUUACUUUCAUUUAUUUUCAAACAAAUCCGUUAAAAAAUAUAUCAAUAAAAAGGAAAAGAAAAAAAGGAGCGCACCUGAAUCGCUCUCUGGCUCCGUCGACGGAGGUUCUCUCGCCGUCGUCGGCCCGGAUCUGAAGGAGGGAUUCUGAGCCCUUGUCUCGGCGCUCGUAGGGGUUCAAGGACCCGAUUUUCAAAUCGCCAGAAGGCCAGGCUUUUUAAAAACCCUUUGUUGCGCUUCGUUGGCCGCCGUUUCGGUGGCGGUGCGACGGACAGACGGACGGUGGUGAAAAGCCAAUCGUCGGAGGGCAUGAAGAGAGAGUGGGGGAAAGUGUUCUGAAUUUUUUUUUUUUAAAAGAGUUUUUUAGGGGUUUUGAUUUAUAUAAGGAUCCAAAACGGCGCCGUUUUGGAAGGGUCAGAAAGCCCCUAAAACGACGCCGUUUUUGCAUAAGACCCGAGACCCAACCCGUCUGACGGAAGGGAUAAUUCGCGUUUAGCCCUUCUGCUUUUUAAUUAUUUUAAAAUUAGGUUCUUUUAAUCUUUUGAAAUUUACCCGAAAAUUUUUUUCGUUUUCAAUUUGAUCCUUACCCAAACUACGUCGUUUUAAAGGAAGGGCCAUUUGCUUGGCUGGUCCCUCCAUGUUUUAUGGUUGUUCAGAGCAGUCCUUCCCUUUUCGUUUAUUUGCGUUUUGAACCCCCCGAAUUUUGUUUUAAUGUUUAAUCUAAUCCUUCUGCUAUUUUGUUUAUUUUCUUAAGAAAUUUAUUAUUAUUAUUAUUAUUAUUAUUAUUAUUACCAUCGAAUUUUAGAUUUAAUCAUAUAUAUAAAUAUACGUCCAUGAUAUAUACCUACUUUUUAUAUAUACUUUAUAAUUUAUAUAUACAUAUACACAUUUUAAUUUAUGUACAUAUCUACACAUAUUUUUCAUACUUUACUCAUAUAUAUAUACAUGUACUUAUACAUAUUCUUUAUAUCUUAAAAUCCAUAUUUUUCUUAUGUAUAUAUUUUAUAUUUUAUAUAUAUGUGUUUAUAUAUUCUACAAUAUAUAUUUAUAUGCAUAAUAAAUACAUAUCUAUAUACGUUUCGAUUUUUAUAAACACAUAUAUAUAUGUAUGCAUACCUUUAUAUUUCUUAUAUUAAAUACAUAUAUAUAUUUAUAUAUCCCUUUAUACUUCUAAAAUACAUAUAUUUUGUAUAUAUUCUUUAUAUUUUAUGAUUCCUAUAUGUACCCACAUAUAUACUUUUUGUAUUGUAUGAUUGUUAUUUACGUAUAUAUGUACGUACAUAUAUACUUACACCUAUUUUCAUGUAUAAUAGCCUUAUAAUAUGUGUACAUACAUGUAUUUUUCAUAUUUCCAUAUACAUACACAUAUAUCUUUUUAUUUUAUAUAAUCUUACUCAUUUUAUUUAUUUAUUUAUUUAUUUACAUGUCUAUUAUUAUUAUGCUCUAGUUUUUAUUUAUUUAUUUAUUAUUUGUUAUUGUGCUUGCUUGAUCCUUUUAUAUAUUAAUCUUAUUAUUUAUUUUUAUUUUGAUCAUGUCAUUUUACUUACAUUAUCAUCAUCAUUCCAUUACACUCAUUUUUUUGUUUAGAUUUCAAAAAAAAAGAAGAAAUUUUAAAAAUAAGUAACACUCGGUAUUUUGGAUCUUCGAGAGAAUCGAGUCCUAACGUAUUGGGUUCCGAUUUUCUUCGUUGAAUUUAAAUAAUCGAGAUUACUCUUUUAAAAAUGAUAAAAAAGCUCGUUAUCGAGAAUUCAAUACGUUGUGUCCCAAUGGAUUGGACGUAACACGGUGUUUUCUCGAGACGAGGAUUUUUCGAAAUAAACGUAAUAUUCAAUGUUUAAUCUUUUGAGAAAUUGUGCCCUAACGUAUUGGGUUGUGAUUUCUUCAUUUGAUUUAAACAAUUGAAUAUCCUUUUAAACUUUAUUACAUGGAUCUUUUCAAACUCAAGUUUUAAACAACCUCGGGAAUUAAAAGAGGAUCGUGUCUUAACUUACUGGUCGUAAUCCCUUUUUUAAUUCGAGAUCGUUAAAUAUCUUUUAAAUAAGCUUUUUUCAUUCGUGUAUUGGGAAUUCGACAUAUUGUGUCUUAACUUGCUAGAUAUGAUAUUCUGUCUCGAAUAACGUGAAAUAUGCCCCUUUUCCUGAAAAAUUUCAACGUUUUAAUACAAGGAUCGUAUUUUUAAAAUUCUUCUAAGUUCUCAAUUUUCGACACUAAGACAUUAACUAAUCAACUAGGUACCAAUUUUGGGCGUAUCGAGGGUGCUAAUCCUUCCUCGUGCGUAACCGACUCCCGAACCCGUUUUUCUGAAUUUCGUAGACCAGACUUGUUGUUUUAAUAAAAUUAAAUUGUUUAUUAAAAACAACCACUUUUCGAGGUGAUCCAAUCACCCCUCAUAAAAAAGGAUUGGUGGCGACUCCCGUUUUUUUAUUUUCGUCAAAACCCAAGUCGACCCCGUUUUUUAUCCAAAAAAAUGGUGUCAACAAAGCCAAUUGUCAACAUGUCAUGACGUUCUAUUUAUGCUAAGGCUAAAGCCUUCGUUGGGUUGUUGGAGCUUGUCAUUUACCAUCUACGACGAGUGCUUAUUUUUUUCCCUGAAUUGUAUGAUUCCAUUCAUUGAAUGAAUUAACGAAUUUACCUUUCAAAAGAAAAAAAAAUUCAUAAAUUUUGAAAUACAAAAUGAAUGUGUUUUGAUAUUUUUAGGGCAAUGGUUUAGUGGUUUAAAUUUUUUUAUUUAAUAUGGUGAAUUUAAUUAUAAUUUUUUAUUUAUUAGAUAGUAGAAUAUCUCUUACCAUUUAUAAGUAAGUACAAUUAAGUUUAGGUUAAAAUAUUUUAUUAAAUUUUUGGACUUUUCACAAAUUUUAAAUUUAAUCUGUUUACUUUUAUUCAAGAAUUUAAUCUCUCUGCAUAUAAAGGAGGUAAUUAUGGCAAGGGGAAUUACCAUGGCAGAGGUAGCGGAGGCUGAGGAAGAGAUGCUGGAUAUGCUGAAGAAAGAUAGAUGGCUGAGAAACAGAAAAACUUUAGGAACAAAAUUCAGUGUUAGAAGUAUGGGGAUGUGAAGGCAGAUUGUUGGAAAAGGGGAAAACAAGCAAAUUAUGCGGAAGAUGAUGAAGAGAUUUAAGUUAUUUAUGAGCUGUCUAGAUGACACCAUAGCUUCAACUAACAUUUGGCUUCAAGGGCGUAUAUCUCAUGAUGAAGAGAUUGUCUCUCUUCUUUUUUCUCAUAACAUAUUAUACGCCAUGAUAAUAAAUUUUGAUAUGCCUAUAAAUUUGAGUCUCUAUUAUUUGUAAUAUGACAUGUUUUAAUUAUUUUUUAUAUUAUGCCAUGAUUUGGUUCACUCCAUAAGUUAUAUAAAUUUAUUAUAAUAAUUCAAUUAAUUUAAUUUAGAUUAAUUUUACAUUUUUGUCCUAACUUUAGUUUUUAAUAAUUGAAUCAUCCCACCAUUAUAUUCAAUUACAAGUGUAAUACGAUUUUGCGUCAUCCCGCACCAUUAUUCUCAGUGUAAUUUUUGGUAGUGAGCAUUGAAGGGGAGAGAGAGAGAGAACAAAGAAAGAACUUACUGUAAUUUUUGGUGUAUGUAAUCGAUAACCCUCAAUGCUUAAAAUGAAAAAGAAAAUAGAAAACAAACGUGGCAAAGUUAGUUACAAUGCCAGCUAAUUCGUUAUUGCUAUCCACAUGAAGAAUUUUAUAACCCCAACUACACGAUUCUAUGUCUACCAGCUCUCACUUUUCAUAUUUUUUGGCCAUUAGUUAUUCUAAGAUUUAACAUCACCGUUAAGCCAUGUUUAAACUCUUUUUUUUAUAUAAUAAUUAUAUUAUAUUUAAAAUUGAAAAAACUAACCAACCAAAUAUAUAUUAAUUAAUUAAUAGAAGUUUUUUGGUCAUCGAUUAAAAUAAAUCAAGAAAGACGUUGGAACCACCAACUUCUCUUUAAGAACAACACGAAUACAAGAAUCUAUGCACAACAAGUUCUAAAAUGUAUUAAGUAAAUUCAUCAUCAUGCCUUAAAAAAAGAAGAUCUCGAUAUAUCUGCUUUUGCCAAAGCAUCCGCCAUACCAUUACUUUGCCAGUGAAUAAUUGUGAAUUGAAACUUAGCCAAUUGAGUGAUAUUAAUUAUAGAAAUGAUUCUUCUUGCAACCAUAGAUGAAACACCACUGAGACUAACAAACUUGGAGAAACUUGAUUUGAGUUUUAACAUCUUCAGGAACAACACAAUUUCGUUUCUUGAAGGACUUUCAAACUUAAAUUAGUCCUUGGAUAUGCAUAAUAACACUCUGCAAGGCUCAUUAAUAGAUAUUAAAGGUACUGAAGCCAUAACUUUUUUUUCUUGAUAAUUCUUUUUAAAAUAUUUCAUAAUUAAUUGUUCUGAAUUUGUACAUUCACUUCUCACAUUUCUGGGUUUUUUUUGUCCUCAACUAAAUUAAACUUAUGCAAAUUUCUUGAAUAUUUAAGUUAAGAGUUAACGUCAAAGUCAAGAGUUGAUAAGUAUUUUGUGGUCCAUUCAUAUCUUUAUUACAAAAAAAAAAAAAUAUUCAAGAAAUUUGCAGCUAGUUGGAGUUUUGCAAUAAGGAAUUUCCACCAAGAGUUUUGGAGGAAUCAUAUCUCUAACAAAAAAAAAAAAGACCUUCAUUUGACUAAAUUUUUUAGUAUUUAUUUUAACUUCCAUUUUUAUUAAAAAAAAGGUAAAAAAUAUGCCAAACAGGGUCUUUAGGUUACUUUUUUUAGAACUAUAUUAUGUUAUAGUACCAUAUAAGUUAGAGGAGCACAAGUUUAGAUUCAUCCAAUUUUUGAGGAAUUAAUUAAAUAUAUAUUAUUUUAAUAUUAUAGUGUAUAGGGGCAAAGUUAGAAAAAAAUUUUGUGGAGUCGAAAUUAAAUUAUAGUUUUUACAAUAGUUAAAAAAAACAAUUUCACUAUUUUAAAAGCAUAUAUGUUUAUAAUUUUUAAAGAAUUAAAUUAAAUUUUUAUCAAUUUUAGGGGGUCAAUGUGCAAUUUUAUCUUUACUAAUUUCAGUUUUUGAAUUGGAUGAGGAUAUGUAUAGGAUUGAGCAAUUUAACAAAUUUGAAGAAACUCGAUUUAAGUUGGAAUGAAAUUGAAAGCUUUCAAUCCUUAAAUGGUAUGCAUUUAUAUUUAACCAAUUACCUAAAUUCUUAUAUAUAAUAAAAGUUUAUGCCAAUUCAUGUUAGUGAUGAAAUUAUAUAAAUCUUUUAUUGAUGGUGGUCGAAAAUUAGAGUUGACCCACUUGGAAGAGCUUUAUUUAGAUGGAAAUCAGUUCAAUACUAGUGUAUUUGCAUCCCUUAAGAAGCUUUCAAAUUUGAAAUCUUUGAGCAUAUGGGGCAAUGGAUUGAAAGGUAAAAAUAUUAGAUUUUUAACAAGAAUAUAAUAAUGUUGGAAGAGAAUAUAAUGAAGUUGAUUUUGUUGUUUUUGUUUUCCUAGAUUUGGAAACAUUUAUCAACUUAAGGGAACUAGAUAUGAGGGGUAAUGAAUCCACCAAUGUAUCAUUUAAUUAAACUUUCAUUUUUGUUCAAAAUUUAGAAAUUUAGUUUCAAUUCUUAGUAAAGGUUAUUGUGAUAGAUACUAAAAAAAAAUUAUAUCAUUUCAUACUUGAAACAAAUGGGUGGAAAAACAGAAUUCAGUUUUUAAAAAAAAAAUUUAAGAAAUAAGGGUUUGGUGAAAAGAUCUUCUAAAUCCUUAUAGUUUUCUUGGUUUUCUUUCGUCGGGAAAUGCAUCACCACCUGUCGUUUCUCAAUUGGAGGCAGCUGUCUUGCGUAUUACAUCUUCAAGCGAUGUGUUUAACUAUCAUGAAGAUUUAUGCAAAGUUUGUUCAUGUUGUCUUGGGAAAAAAUUCUGCUAUGAUCUUUUAUAUCAGGUGAUCACCUGAUUGUUUUUGGUGCUAAGUCGGAUUUUGUUUAUUUUAUAUUUUGAUUAAAGCUUUUAUCUUUGUGUGAAGGAAGCUUAUAACCUUUGUCUUGUCGGUUUUAUUGUUGUAGACAUAUAGUCAAUUAUAUUCACUCUUCCAUCCAUCUCCAAGUUAUUUGGUAUUAAAUAUCUUUUUUAAAUUAUAUUCUGCUUUAUUAAAUAAAAUUCCAAAUAAAAACCAAGUUUAUAUCUUUUUCAAACACUUCUCUCUAUGCAUUUAUGACAUGUUUUUCGAUAUAAAAGUUAUAUACACAAGCAGAUAUUCCUACUCUUUAGAUUUGCUAGGCACCCAUGCAUACAUAUGUAGAAGUAUUUGCUUUGGGAUGUAAUGUGGUGAGACUAUCAUCACAGUUUUUCUUAAGACAAAUGUGAAAGAAAUAGAUUAUUAGAUCCAACAGUAAACAAAGGGGAUCAAACUUAAGUUAAUCCUACUCUUCAUUUUUAUAUCUAAUCAUUUACGAACAUGGUUUUUAGUCAAGGGGGGUUGGGUUUGAGUGGUCGACCCAUUUUUUAGGUGUAAGAUGAGUUUAUCAUUUUCAAAUUUGUUGAUAAUCCUUCAUUUAAUCUGCAGUGGAGUUGAUAGAUAGUCUUAAGAUACUGCCCCAAGAAACUAGAUAUAGUAAAUGUUGGUGUUGGCUUUGGGAUUAAAAGGCUGCCGCCUCAACCUUGCUAUAAAAGCAGCCCAAAUUUGAUCUCCCACUUUAUUUGUAGACAACUAUUUACUUUGGAGAAGUCUUUUAAUUGAGGGUUUCGUUAAUUUGUAAAUCUUAUCAUACGGUGUGGAUGUUGGAGAAUGUAGGCAUUUUGUUAAACCUCUUAAAUUUAGUGUGUGUUUUCCUUUAUUAUUUUAUUUGUAUUUAUUGGUUUUUCUGUUACGUUUUAAUAUUCAAUUAUGAUUUGGUGGGUUAAUCCGUUGUGUUGAGUAGUUUCAAUUUACUUUUGGUGUUCAUUAUUGAAGUUACAUUAACAUUAUUAAUUCUCAAUUUAGCAUCAUAAUUUUAAUAACCACAUAAUUUUAAUUUUUAAAUGUUAGAGAAUUAAUAAUGUUAGUUAUUUUAAUGAAUCCAUAACAUUAAUAUCAAUAAAAGGAAUAAAAUAUAUCAAAUUAAAUAAUAAAAACUAAAAUUUUAAUUCAAUUGAGCAAGUCUAGGGAUUAAAAUUAUAAAUUGACGUAUAAUAAUUUCUCAGGCAUUAAUUGUGAGAUUAUUUCCAUGAGGGGGGCCUAGAUAAGCUCAAGGUUGAUGCAGAAAUCAAUAGUCAACAUUUGAAAGUUAAUACAAUGAAUUAUGUGACUGUUGAUAUAUGUAAUGAUAUUUUCUUAACAAUUUCCUCCAACUACUUCGUAGAUGCAUGGUGUUAUAUCACAUCACAAUGGGUGACCAAAUGCAUAUAAUUGAGAUUGAGAGUUUGGACCUUUCUUACAAUAGCUUGAGUGGUGAAAAUAAUUAUUUAUAAAUUUUAUACUUCAAAAACUAAUGAAAUAUUCAAAUUAAGAAUAGUGAAUUAUUAUGAUAAUGGAUAGUUUUAAAGUAGUGGUCUAGUAGAAAUUUUAAAUUUAAAUAUAGUUGAUAUAAUUAAAUUAUAAAAAAAACAUUAAUUAUUAAAUUGCAUUUAAUUACAUUAGUUGUUGUGAUUACCUAUUUCUCCAAAACGAAAAGCAUAAUCAUAAUAAUUUUUAAAGCUAUCAAAAUUCAGAUUCCCAAACCUCAUGUGAUUGCCAUAGAAAACCUUUUUUCACAAAACUACAUUUUUCUACACGGUAGGAACUUUCCUGGUAAAACAAGACAUACUUUUCUACACAUUUAAUCAAAUUAUGUCAAUAUCAGUUGGCCAUCAAAAUUCAGAUUCCCAAACCCCAUGUGAUUGCCACAAAUAAACUACAUUUUUCUACACGAUAAGAACUUUCCUCGUAAACCAAGUUGGAACCUUUUAAUAGUUUAUAAAAAAACCUUUAAAAAAUAUUUUAGGGAUGUUAUUUUUAAAAUAUUUUUUCAUAACACUUUAAUUAUAUAAAAACUAAAAUUAGAAAUUGACUAGUAAUAAUUCUCAAGGUUAAGGUUGACACAGUAUGUUGAAUUUAUGUUUAAAUUUUGGGUUAUUUUUCUCAAUUAUAGAUUAAUUAAUAUUUUGUACAUUGUGAACUCCACGAACAAGAUUUAAUACAUGACACGUAUUUGAUUUAAUUUAAUUUAAUUUUUAUUUUAUAAAACUUUCAUUAUUAUUCAUUAUCAUUUACCGUAUAUAUAUUCCACUCCUUCUUACUAUAUCUCAACGGAGAAAGUGAAGGUUAUUCAAGGAAAUGGUAAUGUGUGUGUGUUUUUUUUUUUUAUGAAAUGGAUCCAGUUACUAGAUUUUAAUUUUAAUCUUCACUAAACAACAUUUGUUAGAUUUAUUAAGGUUUAUUAUUUCCAAAAUUUGGUGUAGAAAACAUAUUAUUAUAUGUAUAGAAGACCCUUUUUUCCAUAAAACUAAAAUUUCCCUCACAAUAAAAUACAAAACUCGUUCUCGUAAAUAUUUUGAAAAAUAAAAAAAUUUAAUAUUAUUAUUAAUUAACGAAUUACCAAUUUAAUAUAAAUAUAAAACUGUACUUUUAAGUUUAUAAAAUUUAUUAUUUAUCUUUGAUUCUGAAGAUAGAGAAAUUAGGGCCAUAACGACGACUUGGAUUAUGAUUGCACAUUUUCCAAGUCUCAUUUUUGUUAAUUAGGAAAACUGAUGGGCAUCUCCACUAAAUUUAUGUUGAAAAAUUUGGAGUUGUUGCGACAUAGGCACAAUAAACAUCUUUUAACAUUUAUAUGUUUGAGAAUUUAUCGAAUUGUAUCUUUGGGCUAAGUUGAUAUCGUUGGUUUUAUCAAGUCCAUCAAUGAAUAUUAUAGUACUUGGAGAAACUUAUUUGAAGGACCGAGUCAAAUUGGAUUGGAUCAAGUCUAUCUAAUUUCUUAAAUUGAGGAAGUUGGAACAGAUUGAAACAUUAGUACCUUAUUUGCCAAUGGCUCAUAUUACCUUAGUUGUUAUUAUUAUAUUGUAUUCUACUAUUUUAGUUGCCUUUUAGAAGGGAUUGUGAAUGAUCUUCAUUAGGUUAGCAAGUCUUAAAAUAUUUAUAUAAUUAAGAGACUUGUAUAGGUUAUUGUAUUGAUCAUUAUUUAUGUGAGUGUAUUUGAUUGUAAAACUUUUAUGUUGUGGUUUUGCAGGCAAAAUUCUUAAAGGGAGAAUUUAGUGAUGAGAGACUAGUCACCAAACUACAAGAGUGAAGAUUCUAAAUCAGGAUGUGUUAGAAUUAACUUCAUUGGUUAAUGUUGAUUUUUUUUUUAAAAAAGUUUCCAUGUCAUUAUGGUGAGAUGAAUUAUUUCAAACAAUAAAUUAAUGGAAAAUAACUCUUUUAAUAACCACAUAACUUUAAUUUUUAAAUGUGAGAGAAUUUAUGAUUUCUAGUUUCUAUUUUUUUUUAAAUCCACAUGAGCCAACUAAUGAAAUUUUUAAUAAUGUUAGUUAUUUUAACAAAUCCAUAACAUUAACAUCGAUAAGAGGAAAAAAUAUAUUAAAUUUGAACGUUAUGAAUUUACGAACUAAAAUUUAAAUAAUUUUCUUCUCCGACUUCCGACAUUGACUGUCAAAUCAACUUGGAUAAGGGUAGGAUCCAAGAGGGGCUGGCAAGGGCUGCGGCUCCCCUAAAAUGAAAAAUUUUCUAUUUAAGCCCUUUAUAAUUUAUAAAAUUUUAAAUUAGUAACAGUAGAUUUGCACUUUGGCUCCCCAAAAUAAUAAAAAAUUGAUUUAGUUCUCAAAAAAUUAUAAAGAUAUAAGCUAUUAAAAUGAUAAAAUUUCAUUUCUACUAUCGUAAAAAUAUACAAUUUAAUUCUAGCCCCCCCCCCCAAAAAAAAUUUCCUAGCUUUGUCCCUAACUUGGAUUUAAGGUAUGUUCUUUUACUCAUCGAUGGGUACUAAUUCACCGUACCGGUCGUCAAAUCAUCGUUUGAAACUCGCUAGUUAGACCUUAUUUUUCAAAAAAGAAAAACUUAACAGUCUAGUGACUUAAAUAAAAACUCUUGAAUAGUUUAGUGUCUUAAAUGAAAAUUUUUGAAUAGUUCAAUGAUCAUUUUAUAACUUUUUUGUAGUUGAAUGACCAAAUAAACUUACUAAAAAUUUAAUGACCUUGAACGUAAUUUACCCUAAUAAUUAAUAGGGUGGAAAAGAAUUUUACAACCCAAACUACAUGAUUUUAUGUCCAACUCAUACUCUUGGUUAAAAAGUCAACUAGAAAAUGACAGCACGGAAAACCAAGGAAAACCAAACACUAACUGGAGUGUUCAUCAAGUUUUAUAAUCUUAAUUAAAUUUAUUAAUAAUAUAUUUAAAAAUAUUUUUAUAUCAAUAUUUAAAAUUAAAUUAUCAAAAUAAUUAGGUGCAAUAGUAAUGAAUAUUGCAUUCUCAAGGGGAGAUGCAUGUUCGAACAUCAGAAAUGACAUUAUUAAGAAUGACAGUCACGAACUCCGAACAUGAAUUGUAAAUCAUAUUUAAAGAAUAUAAAUAUUAUGGUGGAAUCAGUUGCACUAUUAAGAGUUCUUGAUAACAUUAGUUAUAAAAAAAUACAAAAAUAUAAAUUAAUUUGAAAUUUAAUUUUUAUAUCGAGAAAUGAUAUUGUGAAAUUUUGUUUUUAAAAGCACAAAAAUAUAUAUAUUUUAACAUGGAAAAUAAGUAUAAACAUUUUUAACAUUUUAAUAAGAAUUAAUUAAAGGUGUCAACUAUUUAGACUAACUAAUAAUAUUAUAAAAGUAAGUGAAUUAAAUUAGGUUAAAUUAAAAUAUAAAUACAAAAUCUUAAAUUUAAAUAUAGUUAAUGUAAUUAAAUUAUAAAAAAAAUUAAUUAUUAAAUUACAUUUAAUUAAAUUAGUUGUUGUGAUUACCUAUUUCUCCAAAACGAAGAGCGUAAUUAAUCAUAAUAAAAUUUAAAUUUAGUGAAUCUCGGUUGGCUAUCAAAAUUCAAAUUCCCAAACCCCAUGUGAUUGCCACAAAUUAGUGCAUAGAAGACCUUUUUUCACAAAACUACAUUUUUCUACAGGAUAGGAACUUUCCUAGUAAAAGAAGACGUACUUAAUAAUAUAUUUUUAUGAGAGUGUUUAUACCUUUUAAUAGUUUAUAUAAAACCUUUAAAAAGUUGUACAUAUGUUUAUAGUAAUGAACAAAUGUUUAAAGUUUAGGUUAUUUUUCUCCAUUAUGGAUUAGUAUUUUGUUCAUUGUGAACUUCACGAAUAAGAUUUAAUACAUUAUAUGUAUAUGAUUUAAUUUAUUUUUAUUUUAUAAAACUUCCAUUAUUAUUCAUUAUCUGUUUUACUCAUUAAUGGAAUGUGGUGUUAUUAUUCAUUUACCGAAUACAUCAAAUAUUACCUUACAUCUAUUCCACUCCCUCUUACUAUAUCUCAAUGGAGAAAUUGAAGGUCAUUCAAGGAAAUGGUAACGUGUACUAUUCAUUGUUAUUCAUUAUUUGUUAUAUUCUAUGCUAUAUUUGUUAUUUCUAACACCUAGUUUACAUGAUUGAUGCCUUUGAUCAGCUUGGAUUUGCGGUCUUGUCCAGACAUUGCUUUAUGCUGAUUUCUUCUACUAUUACUUCCAGAGGUUUCUCACGCUCUGGAAAGCACUUCAUAGUACCUAUGUGAAUGAUUGCAACUUAUUUGAUUAUUAUGCCUGCAGCUGCAAGAAUAACAUGAAGCUCCAAUUACCAGCUUGAGAUUUUAAUGGUGCAAGUUUUGUAGUAGCAUACAUAGAUAUAAGGUGGUCAAUCUGCUUUGAUAACUGGUGCUUGAUAUUUUAUUUAUUUACCCCUUUGUUAGGGGUGCUUUUAGCAAGCUUUUAAGCAACAUAGCUUGGUUAAGACCCAAAUUCUAUAUGCCUUAAGAGAUUGUAUUGCAUAAUCUGUAUGUGGAUAUCCAAGGAUUGAUAAUCACGUUUGUUUUUAAUCUAUUGCAGAUAGUAAUUGAAAUAUUUAAAUUCGAAUAUUAUCCGAAUUUGUAAGAUUUAAAUUUACAAAGAGCCGAUCAGAUGUGUACAAUCAUUUCAAAUCUAUAGUAGUACAAUCAUUGGCUUAUCACCAGGACCAGCAAUGGCCUUGAAUGGCCAAUGCUUCAUAUUGCUGUGUACCAAAGGGUCAGUGAACCGACGACCAAUCAGAAGUUUAGCAUCGGAAGAGACUUUAAACAUUUUUGUUCAAAAACAUCCAAAGAGAGGAGACUAAGAAAUUUCCUGGACUUCCAACAUUUCCUUGAAUUGAAACCUUAUACCUAUAUUUUAGGCAUCAAAUCUCACAGGUUCAUGUUGAGUUCAAAAUCUACUUCUUUUGAAGUGUAACAGAGGCAUUCUCCAAUUGACUUGAAAGAAUCAUAAAAGCAGACGUAAGUUUUCCACCAAUUAGAACAUUUUGAAAAUUGAUGUCAAGCCCGAAAUGACCGUCACAAGUAAGCAUAUUAAACGUGUGAAGAGAAGACCUUAUUUUUCCACAUAACUAAAACUUUUUACACCAUAGGAACUUUCAUCGUCAUCAAGUUGGACAUAGAUGGAACUCACGUUAAACACACACAUAUAUAAAAUUUACAGCAAAGUUUUUAAGCAAAUAUGGAAUGUAGGUUUUGUUGGUAUAUUUUAUUGUAGGGUGUAAUUGAAUCUAUUCGAACUCAAUACGGUUAAACUCAAGUUUAAUUUGAAAUUCAAAGCUUGAUACUCGAUUGAACAUAUAUUUUUAAGCUCGAAAUUAAAUCUGUUUAUCAAUUUUUGUACUCGAGUUCGAGCUCGCCUCAAUAAUUAAACUUAGGGUUAACAAUAUAUAUUAAAGGCAAUAAUGUAAUCUAAUAAUAUAAAAAUAUGAAAAGUUCAAUAAGGCUCCCAAACUACUCGAGUCAAGUAUUACUAAGCUUGAAUCCGGAUCGACCUAUAGCUCGGCGCAAUAAUUACCGAAUCAAAUUCAAAAUUUUUUGAGCCGAAUUCGAAUAGCUUGCGGGUACGGAUGUCUCAUUUGCACCCCUAUACUUCAUUAGAUAACAAGUGGCAUUUUGAAUUAUUAUAGGUAUAAUAAUUACUUUGUUAAUUACUUUAUUAGUAUCUUAAACAAGAAAGCAUUUAUAUAGCUGCAAUGUAUUAUUUCAAAUAUUUGUGAUUUUAAAAAGUAUUAUUUUACCUACAAGUGUAUGUUUGAACCGUUGAGACGACGUUGUUGAAAGGGGAUAGUCAUAAACCUCGAACAUAGACCAUAACACAAAAAUAAAAAAUAAAAAUAAAUAUUAUGUCCAUGAAUAAAACAAAAAAUGAAGAACUAAAAUUUCCAUUAAUAAAGCGAAAUCAAGACUAACUUUAUAUAAGUGUAAGAAGGGCAUAAAAAAUAUAUUAUGUCCACAUGAAGAAUUUUAUAACCCCAACUACACGAUUUUAUGUCCACCUCUCACUUUUCAUAUUUUUUUGGCCAUUCGUUUUUCAAGAUUGACAUCGACAUUAGAUUUAAAAUCAACGUUAAGCCAUGUUUAAAUUUUUUAAUAGAAUAUCAAGACUGAUUUUUUGUGAGUGAUUAAAAUUUUGUGUAAACUUAAAUGACUUAAAACUUAUCAUUCUUGUCAUCCCAUCUUCUCUCCAUGAAAGAAUUUUAAAAUGAACUUAGCAUUGAACGCCAAAGUCAAGAGUUGAUAAGCAUUUUUGUGGUCCAUUCAUCCUUUCUUAACGAAUUUCCAUCGAGAGUUUUUGCAAUAAGGAAUUUACGUAAAUAAGAAGCCUAGAUUGAUCCAAUUUUUGAGGAAUUAAUUAAUCAUAUAUUAUUUUUAUAUUAUAGUGAAUUAGUGGGAUGCAAUAUCUUCUGCUUGUAUAUAAUUAAACAAGAAGCUUAGGCUUCUUUAGAUUACAUACAUAUAUAGAAGUUAAUCUAUAUUUUCCACAAAACUAAAAUUUUCCACACGACUGAAACUUUCUUGGUCAAACAAGUUGGAUUUGGCUUCACCAAUAACUUAAUAAUCUGUACUAAAAGUUUCGACACAAUAGAAUACGAACUCGUUCUCGUAAAUAUUUUGAAAAAUAAAAAAUUUAAUAUUAUGAGUUAAUGAAUUACUAUAUUAAUUUAAAAAAUUAAAAGAUACAAUUUUUUUAAAGAAUUUAUGAAAUUAUAUAUUAAUAUAAUUGUUGACACCUUUUUUUUUGUGAAAACGGGGUCGACUUGGAUUUUAAAAAAUGAAAACGAAUAUGGAAGUCACCACCAAUCCUUUUUGAUAAGUUGUGAUCGGGCCACCUUGAAAAGUGGUUAUUUUUAAUAAACAAUUUAAUUUUAAUAAAAUAAUAAUUUUGGUCCACGAAAUUCAGAAAAACGGGUUUGGGAGUCGGUUACGUACGAGGAAAGAUUAGCACCCUCGUAACGCCCAAAAUUGGUACCUAGUUGAUUAAUUAAUGUCUUAGUAUCGAAGAUUGAAAACUUUAAAGAGAUUUAAAAUACGAUCCUUUAUUGAAAUGUUGAAAAUUUUCGGGAAAAAGCCAUAAUUCACAUUAAUCGAGAAAGAGAAUUAUAUCCAGUAGGUUAGGACACAAUGUCUUGAAUUCCCGAUGCGCGAAUGAAUGCCAAAAAUUUACUUAUUUAAAAAAUAUUUAGCUAUCUUAGAUUUAAAAAAAAAAGGGGAUCAUGCCCAGUAAGUUAGGACACGAUCUUUUCUUAAUUCCUGAGAUCAUUUAAAACUUGAGAAAAAAAAAGGAUCAUGCCCAAUAAGUUAGGACACGAUCUCUUCUUAAUUCCCGAGAUCAUUUAAAACUUGAUAAUUUUUAAUUCUCAAUUUAGCAUCAUAAUUUUAAUAACCACAUAAUUUUAAUUUUUAAAUGUUAUAGAAUUAAUAAUGUUAGUUAUUUUAAUAAAUCUAUAACAUUAAUAUUAAUAAGAGGAACAAAAUAUAUCAAAUUGAAACUAAAAUUUUAAUUCAAAUGAGUAAGUAUAGGGUUUAAAACUAUAAAUUGAUGUAUAAUAAUUUCUCAAGCAUUAAUUGUGACAUUAUUUCCAUGAGGAGGGGGCCUAUAUAAGCUCAAAGUUGACGUGAAGUCAAUAGUCAACAUUUGAAAGUUAAUGCAAUGAAUUAUGUGACUGUUGGAUAUAUGUAAUGAUAUUUUCUUAACAAUUUCCUCCAACUACUUUGUAGAUGGUGCUAUAUUACGUCACAAUGGGUCACCAAAUGUAUAUAAUUGAGGUUUUUAAGCAAAUAUUAUAGUUUAUCUUUAUCCAUGAAUAGUAUAAUAAUUAGGAUUAAUAUUUGGUACAUUGUUGCUGGAUUUUUUAAAUCUCAUAAGUAGAGUUAGAGGAUUGACACGUAUCCUAUAUAUGUGUAGUAUAUAAUAUUAAAAAAUAUAUAUUUUAAAAAAAUAGACACAUUUUAAUUUUUUAAUGUUGCUUGUGGGAUGCACUUGAAUUGUGGUUCAUAGAAGAAAAUUAUUAUAUAAACUAAGGUUUAAUUCUACCAUAGUUCUUGUACUUUACUGAAGUUGUAGAUUUAAUUUCUAGACUUUAAUUUGAUAUUUUAGAUAUUUAUUAAAUUCAUUAAGUCCUACUAUUUCUAAAUUUGGUGUGGCAAACAUAUUAUCAUAGGUGUAAUAUCACUAAAAUUCAAAAGAAUGAGAAAUUUGUACAUAUUAUCAGAUGUCAAUAUCAAGUUGAACAUUUCAAAAUCUAAAGUAAUAGUUCAAGUAUUUAUUUUUCCAUAAAACCAAAAUUUUCUACAUGAUGGCUUUUUUUUUUUGGCUAUUAGUUAAGAGGAAUUUUUUUUAUAACCCAAUUUAAUUAACUAAUUAAAAAAUGGUUCAAGUAAAACUCAAGUCAUAUUAAAAAUAAUUAUUUAUAAAUUUUAUGUUUCAAAAACUAAUGAAUGUUCAAAGAAUAGUGAAUUAUUAAAGAGAAGUUAUAUGAUAAUGGAUUGUUUUAAAGUAGUGGUCUAGUAGAAAUAAAUAGUUUUUUAUAAAAAAAUAUUAUAUAAAUAAUUAAAUUUUAUAGUUAUUCCUAUUUUUUUAAAAAAUAGUGAAUGUAAUAUUUUUUAAAAUGUUAAAUUAACUCAUGAUAUUAAUUAAAUCAAGAAAUUUUAUAAUAAUAGAGAUGAAAAAAACUAAAUUUUCAAAAUCAAAACCUAAAACGUGCAAGAAUAAAAGCAAUCUGAAGACUUAAAAUUUCCAUUAAUAAAACCAAAAUCAAAGAAGUAAAAUUUCCAUGAAUAAAACCAAAAAUGAAGACCUAAAUUUUCCAUUAAUAAAGCCAAGUCAAGACUAAGUUUGUAUAAGUGUAAGAAGGGUAUAAAUGAAACUCACAAGAAAGCCACAUGAAGAAUUUUAUAACUCCAACUACACGACUUUAUGUCCUCCUCUCACUUUUCAUAUUUUUUUGGCCAUUCAUUUUUCAAGAUUAACAUUAGCAUUCUUGUGGUCCGUUCAUCCUUUCCUAACCAAUUUCCACCAAGAGUUUUUGCAAUAAGGAAUUUACCUAAAUAAGAAACCUAGAUUGAUCCAACUUUUGAGGAAUUAAUUAAUUAUAUAUUAUUUUUAUAUUAUAAUGAAUUAGUGGGAUGCAGUAUGUUCUGCUUGUAUAUAAAUAAGAAGCUUAGGCUUCUUUAGAUUAUAUACAUAUAGAAGUUAACAAAAAGUAACAUAUAGCUGAGAGAGAAGUGAAAAUAGAGAGAUGAUGAUGAUGGAGUGGAAAUGGUUAAGGUUUAUUAGGAUGGCAGUAAUGUUGUUGGUGUUAGAAGGAUGCAGAUGGUGUACUACUGAUGCUUGUUUGGAGCAUGAGAGAAUCGCUCUCUUGCAUCUCAAGCCUUUCUUCAAUUAUCAAAAUCAAUUGCAAAGUUGGGUUGAGGUGAAGGGUUCAGAUUGUUGUAAAUGGGAAAGAGUUGAGUGUAACACCACCACUAGGAGACUCAUACAACUCUCCCUUAAUUCUUCAAGAUGGUUUUACACCACGGAUAAUAGGAAUCUCAAUGCCUGGUAUCUCAAUACCUCUAUGUUUCUUCCCUUUGAGGAAUUGAAGAGUCUUUAUUUGUCGGGGAAUGCCAUAAGUGGUAACCUUGAAAAUGAAGGUCGUGCCUCUAGUUUUUCUUUAAUUACAUCUUUUGUUAUUACACUACUCUCACCAUCGUUAAUUUGCAAUUACUUAUAUUUUAUUUUAUUUUAUGGAAGAAAAGUCACUAACUUGUAUAUAUUUAAAAGAAUAUUUCUAUAGGCUUUGGAAAACUAUCAUCCACAUUGAGUAAUUUGGAGAUCCUUGACUUAAGUGAAAACUACUUGAAUGACAGCAUUUUGUUAUCUUUAAGUGAGCUUUCAUCUCUCCGGUAUUUAAAUUUAUCAAGCAACAAAUUUGAAGGAUCAGGUCAUCUAAGAGGUAAAUUAAGUUUGGUCUAGUGUUAGUUUUUAUUUGUAUAGUGGAGUUUGAGGAUGGUCUUCUAGGCUUGGUACCUAGUUUUCCAUUCUUUUUAUCCGUCGUAAUUCCACUUUUGCUUUAGUAAAAUUUUCAUAUGGCUAAGAAAGAAAAAACAAUUAACAAGUAAAUAUAUAUAUAUCAGGUUUUCAAUUGCUUUCAAGACUCAAUAACUUGGAAACUCUUGAUUUAAGUGGGAAUUCUUUGAAGAAUAGCAUUUUGUUCCAUAUGAGAAAUCUUUCAUCCUUGAUUUAAAAAUCAAUGUAUGUUCAAGUUUGAUUUUAUCAUACGAUGAAUAUAUAUAACUAAUCAAUAUUUGGGAUUGAAUUUCAGGAUUGAAUAAUUUGUCAAACUUGAAAUACUUGGAUUUAAGUUGGAACAGAAUUGAAAGCAUCUCAAACAAAGGUAUAAGUACAGUAUUUAUAUGUCAAUUCAUAUUAAAGGUAGACUGGUUUUAUAUGUUUCUUUUUUACUUUAAAACCAAUUUUUGUUUAAGGGACAGUUAAUGUUGCAAUAUGUCUUUGCUUUUAUCAUAUCAUGAAUAUAUAUAAUUGAUCAAUAUUUGGGAUUGAAUUUCAGGAUUGAAUAAUUUGUCAAACUUGAAAUACUUGGAUUUAAGUUUCAACAACAUUGAAAGCAUCUCAAACCAAGGUAUAAGUAUUUGUGCGUAGUAACUUUCUUGACUGACUAUUAUUCCAAAAGACAAUGACAGACUUCAAAUGUAUUUUCUUUAGUAAAUUUUUAUUGCAAAAAUGGAGUAUUAUUAUUUAUUUAAGUUUUGUAGUAACUAAUUAUAUAAUAUAUAAAUGAGGUUUUCAAUGGCUCAUUAAAUUGGAAAUUAUUGAUAUAAGUUGGAAUUAUUUGAAGAAUAGCAUUCUUUAAAAUAAAUUCAUGUUGAAGGAAAAGUUGUUGCAAUAAGUCAUUUGAUUUUAUCAUAUCAUGAAUAUAUAUAAGUAACUAAUUCUAUAGUAUAUAAAUCAGGUUUUCAGUGGCUUUCAAGGCUCACUAAAUUGGAAACUCUUCGUCUAAGUGGGAAUUCUUUGAAGAAUAGCAUUUUGUUACAUAUGAGAAAUCUUUCAUCUUUGAAGACUUUAAGUUUGAGUUACAAUCAGUUGGGAGGAAAACUGCUUCAUAUUCAAGGUAGACUGAUUUUACACUUUUCUUGUUAACUUUAAAAUAAAUUUAUAUUCAAGGAAAAGUGGUUGCAGUAUGUGAUUUGAUUUUAUCAUAUCAUGAAUAUAACUGAUCAGUAUUUGAGAUUGAAUUUCAGAAUUGAAUCAUUUGGCAAACUUGAAGUACUUGGAUUUAAGUGGCAACAAAAUUGAAAGCAUCUCAAACAAAGGUAUAAGUAUUAAUUUGUGCAUGACUUUCCUAACAGACUUCAAACAAAGGAAAAAUUGUUGCAAUAAGUCAUUUGAUUUUAUCAUAUCAUGAAUAUAUAUAAGUAAUCAAUAUUUGGGAUUGAAUUUCAAAAUUCAGUAAUUUAAGUAGGAAGGUAUCUCAAACAAAGUAUUUAUAUAUUGAAUCAAUUCAUGGGAAAGCUUGUAAAUUGGCUCUUCCUUCUCAAACAAACAUUUUUCCUAACUAUUUAUAUCUUGCAUGAUGUUAACUAUACUAAUUAUUUUCUUCCAAUGAUAGAUGGAACACAAUUGAGGCUAACAAACUUAGAGGAACUUGAUUUGAGUGGUAAUCUCUUUCGGAACAACACAAUUUCCUUUCUGCAAGGGCUUUCAAGCCUAAAGUCUUUGACUUUGUUCAACAACCGUUUGCAAGGCUCAUUAGAUACUAAAGGUACUAAAGCUACAACUUUGUUUUUCUUGAUAAUUCUUUCUAGAGCCUUUUAAAAUUAAUUGUUUCAAAUUUUAACAUUCACAUUUCACGUUUGAGGAUUUUUAUCUUCAAUUCAAGUUUUAGAUUUACUUUUUUUUUCAUUUUUAUUUCAUUAAAAUAUUAAGUAGAAAUUAAAAUUAUUAACAUAAUGAUUUUUUGAAUUGGACGUGGAUAUGUAUAGGAUUGAGCAAUUUAACAAAUUUGAAGAAACUCAAUUUAGGUGGGAAUCAAAUUGAAAGCUUUCAAACCUUUAAAGGUAUGCAUUUAUAUUUAACCAAUUACCUAAAUUCUUACAUAUAAUUAAAUUUUAUGCCAAUUCAUUUCAGUGAUGAAAUUAUAUAAAUCUUUUGUAGAUGGUGGUAGAAAAUUGGAGUUGACCCACUUGGAAGAGCUUAAUUUAGCUGGAAAUCACUUCAAUACUAGUGUAUUUGUAUCCCUUAACAAGCUUUCAAAUUUGAAAUCUUUGAGCAUAUGGGACAAUGGAUUGAAAGGAUCAAUAGAUAUGAAAGGUAAAAAUAUUAGUUUUUUUAACAAGAAUAUAAUCAUGUUUGAAGAGAAUAUAAUGAAAUUGAUUUGUUGUUUUUGUUUUCCUAGAUUUGGAAGCAUUUAUCAACUUAAGGAAACAAGAUAUGAGCUAUAAUGAAUUGAAAGAUUUGGUGAUCCACCAAGGUAUCAUUUAAUUAAACUUCCUUUUUUUUUAAUUUAGAAAUUUAGUUUUGAUCUCAUAUAUUAUAAUAACUAAUAAAGUUAUAUCAUAUCAUACUUGAAAGUAAAAUAUGGGUUUGGUGAAACAUUUUCUAAAUCAUCCAUUAUAAUGUGUUUGGACUUUGGUUUGAAACUAAAAUUCUUUAAAAUUUUCAUCAUUUUAAAAUAUUAAUGUUUAUAAUUAUUUUGUUUGUAUAAAUAUAUUUUUUAAAAUAAUUUAUUGAAUUUUUAUGAGAUAAAAAAUAAUUAUAACAAUAAAAAAUGAUAUUAUAAAUAAAUAAAAACAUAUAUUUAUGAGAAAAUAUGUAAUAUAACUAUAUUUUAAUUUCAUAUAUUUUUAAUAGUAUAAAACAUAAAAAUACAUAUUAGCGUUAAAUAAAUGGCAUUUUUUGGCAAAAAUAAAUAAAUGUCAAUUUUGAAUAAUUUAAAAAAAAAUCUUUAAUUUUGUGAAAUUUAAACAUACAUUGAGAGGUGCUUAAACUUCCAUUGCAAUCUUUUUAUAAAUUUCAAAGUGCAUAUGUUUUUAACUUUUUGGUUUAAAAAAAUAUGAUAGGUCUACGUACUCUUUACUAAUUUGUAAUUUAAUUCUUAUACUUUUAUUUUCAAGAAUUUAAUCCCUGUUUUUUUAUAAAAAAAAAAUCAAAAUCCUAGUUCAAUUGUUAAAAUUGUUAAAAUUUUAAAAUAGUUUGUUGGUGUGACAUUUUGAAAUAAAAAAAAAACUUAGUAGUAAUGUAACUAAAAAAAUGACGUAAUGAACAUGGAUUUAAUAAAAUAAUUUUAACAAUAUUAAUAAAAUAAUUUUGAAUUUUGAAUUUUAACUUAACUCUAUUUUUGGGCCAAGAUUUAAUGCUUUAAAAUUUUCAUUUAAUCCGCUGAGUUUACUUAUAAUUCUUUUGAGUUUUAUUUAUUGGUGAGUAAAAUACCUAUUUGAUUUUUUUAUAUACUAUUGGCAUCUUUAAAGGUAAUAUAAUAAUUUUAGUGUAGACGUGUUUUAUUUUAUAAAUAUUAUUUAUAGUGUAGACAUGUGAAUUUUGAAUAAUUUAAAAAUAUCUUCAAUUUUAUGAAAUUUAAACAUACAUUUAGUGUAGACAUGUUUUAUUUUAUAAAUAUUAUUUAUAGUGUUGUUGAUUGGAGUUUGAAAAUUAUACAACUUAGCUAUAUCAGUUAAUUACUUAUAUUAAAAAAUAAUAUAAGAAAAUACUAAAAAGAAAAAAAAUAGUAUAAUUAAUAAAAUGGAUGAAGAGUUAUAUUAAAGUUUCAACAUCUUCUCUCUAUCAAAAUUUAUCUCAGAUAAAUCAUGAAUAAUCUAACUCAUAAAAAAUAUAUAUAUUUAUAUACUUCAUUUCAUUCACAGAAAAUAAAGCAUUCUACUUAGUAGAGGCUUUCUAUAAUACCGUUAUCUAAUACCUCUUGACAUUGCUUAGAUUCAAAUGUGUCGAGCAGUUUGGAGGAAAUAUAUCUUGACUAUUCUACUCUCAACACCAACAUUUUGCAAAGCAUUGGAGUAUUCGCUUCUCUUAAAACAUUGUCUUUAUAUCAUUGUGGACUUAUUGGUCCCUUACCUAAUCAAGGUAAAUAAUUUUAUGGCUCAAUUUGAUUUCUUUACUAGCUUUUGUAAUAUAAUAUCUCCUAUUCUAUUUAAUAGGACCAAAUUUAAUUAAAAUUUCUUCCAUGAAUUUAUAAAUUUUUCAGGAUGGUGUGAUCUAAAGAACCUUGAAGUAUUGGAUGUGAGCAACAAUGCACUUGAGGGGAUGCUUCCUCGUUGUUUUAGUAACUUGACAUCUCUUCGUGUGUUAGAUGUUUCAAGAGACCAUUUUCAAAUUCCGCUGUCAUUUGCACCAUUUGCAAACCUUUCAAACCUCAAAGCCCUUUUGAUUAAUGAAAACAAGAUGGUAAUGGAAUCUUCCUUUUAUACCUCAAUCCCAAAGUUCCAAUUGGAAGUCAUCAGAUUGCCAAAGUGCAUAGCAUCUCAACAACUCAGUCGUAAAUUUCCUACCUUUCUUUACUACCAAUAUGACUUGAGAUAUGUGGAUCUUUCUCAUAACAAUCUCAGUGGAACUGUAC
rnacentral:lncRNA from 1 species